GUCUUAGUAACAUAGUGGUUAAUGCACAGCCCCGGUCAGGCAAGAGACGCGGGUUCGAAUCCCGCCUGAGAUG
rnacentral:tRNA from 1 species